GAGCUCAAAUUGACGGCGCUGUUUGCUACGACGAUGUCGGCUCAACUCAACCUGGGCGUGCAGAAGCGCCCAAGGGUGGGGGUGUUCACCCAUUAAAGAGUUUCGUGAGCUGGGUUCAGAACGUUGUGAGACAGUUUGUUCAAUAUCUAGUGGAUGUGUUUAGAAUCUGAGAGGAAGGAUCUCUUAGUACGAGAGGAACAGGGGUUCGUGGCCUCUGGUGUAUCGGUUGUCUGAUAAGGCAGGCCGAGCAGCUACGCCAUAAGUGAUAAGAGCUGAAAGCAUCUAAGCUCGAAGCACACCUCAAAAAGAGAUUCUACAAGCGCCCGCAAAAGACGGGUUUGAUAGG
rnacentral:rRNA from 1 species